UACAGAGGUCCCAAGCGUUGUUCGGAUUCACUAGGCGUAAAGGGUGCGUAGGUGGCUUGGUAAGUUUGAUGUGAAAUCUCCGGGCUUAACCCGGAAAUGGCAUUGAAUACUAUUGAGCUGGAGGUUUGGAGGGGGGACUGGAAUUCUCGGUGUAGCAGUGAAAUGCGUAGAUAUCGAGAGGAACACCAGUGGCGAAGGCGAGUCCCUGGACAACACCUGACACUGAGGCACGAAAGCUAGGGGAGCAAACAGG
rnacentral:rRNA from 1 species